CUCGUAGGCGGUCGUGUAAGUUGGGUGUGAAAUCUCCAGGCUCAACUUGGAGGGGCCACCCGAUACUGCUCGACUUGAGUCCGGUAGGGGAGUGGGGAAUUCCUGGUGUAGCGGUGAAAUGCGCAGAUAUCAGGAGGAACACCGGUGGCGAAGGCGCCACUCUGGGCCGGUACUGACGCUGAGGAGCGAAAGCGUGGGUAGCAAACA
rnacentral:rRNA from 1 species